GGGAAUGUGGCUUAGUGGUAGAGUGCUUGUCUAAUAUGCAUGAAGUCCUGGGUUCAAUUCCUCAGUACCA
rnacentral:tRNA from 1 species